UAAAUAGAUACCCGGGUAGUCCACGCCCUAAACGAUCGCGAACUGGAUGUUGGGUACAUUACGGUACUCAGUGUCGAAGCUAACGCGUUAAGUUCGCCGCCUGGGGAGUACGGUCGCAAGACUGAAACUCAAAGGAAUUGACGGGGGCCCGCACAAGCGGUGGAGUAUGUGGUUUGAUUCGAUGCAACGCGAAGAACCUUACCUGGCCUUGACAUCUGUCGAAUCCUGCAGAGAUGCGGGAGUGCCGCAAGGAACGACAAGACAGGUGCUGCAUGGCUGUCGUCAGCUCGUGUCGUGAGAUGUUGGGUUAAGUCCCGCAACGAGCGCAACCCUUGUCCCUAGUUGCCAGCACGUAAUGGUGGGAACUCUAGGGAGACUGCCGGUGACAAACCGGGAGGAAGGUGGGGAUGACGUCAAGUCCUCAUGGCCCUUACGGCCAGGGCUACACACGUACUACAAUGGUCGGUACAGAGGGUUGCGGAGCCGCGAGGUGGAGCCAAUCCCAGAAAACCGAUCCCAGUCCGGAUCGGAGUCUGCAACUCCG
rnacentral:rRNA from 1 species